AUCGCUUCUCAGGCUUUUGGCUGAGAUCAAGUGUAGUAUCAGUGAUUAUCAAUUUAAUAUCUGACAACUCCUCUCUCCAAGGACAUUAUAUUAAAUGGAAUUUUGGAGCUGGGAGAUGGAAUAGGAGCUUGCUGCAUCCACUCUGUGCAUCAACCCCAUAUUGCAGUACUUCUUGGAACCGUGCACCCACU